UUGACACCAUUUUUUUGAUGAAAACGGGGUCGACUUGGAUUUUGAAAAAAAGAAUGAAAACGGGAGUCGCCACCAAUCCUUUUUUGACGAGGUGUGAUCGGGUCACCUCAAAAAGUGGUUGUUUUUAAUAAAUGAUUUAAUUUUAUUAAAACAACGAUUUUGGUCUACGAAAUUCAGAAAAAUGAGUUCGGGAGUCGGUUACGCACGAGGAAGGAUUAGCACCCUCGAUAUGCCCAAAAUUGGUACCUAGUUGAUUAAUUAGUGUCUUAGUGUCGAA
rnacentral:lncRNA from 1 species